UUAGCUCCAUUUCAGGUUACUAUAAUUUGAUCUUUAUAACAUUAUGAAUUUAUUUUUAUUUUUUUGGUUGCUUAUGACUAUAAUUUGAUAUUUUGAAUUUAUGAUCAGAUGGAUUAGUUAAAUAUAGAGGGCUUGCCAAACUUCAAUUUGAAGAAGAUGUGGAAUUGAUUAAAGUUGAGUAUCAUAUGUUGCCAGAGGGUAAUUUUUGUAGUGGAACAACCUUUGUUCCAAAAUCUCAAGGUGUUGAUGAGGAUGAUGGUUGGCUUGUGACAUUCACACAUAAUGAAAAUACAAAUGUAUCUCAAGUGAGUUGUAAUAGUUAUAUAUAGUUGAAUAUAAUAUCUAAUAAAGUUAGAUUUUGUUAAGAGAGGUGCUUUACAAGUGAAAGUCAAUACUAAUGUGAACAAUUAUUGUUUCUUGUAGGUAUAUAUAGUUGAUGCAAAAAACUUUGCAACACACCCUAUUGCCACAAUCACAUUACCAAGUAGAGUGCCUUAUGGAUUUCAUGGAGCUUUCAUGCCUUUAUAACCUAGUGCGCGCCAUUUACACGCGUCCCCUAUUACAAUUGUAUUAUCCCUCUUUUGAUAAAAUUAAAUCAUGUGUAUUGGUAUUUUUGAGUGUCAUUUGCUCUUCCUUUCUAUAUUGGAUAAUAAUGUGUUGAUAAGACAUACCAAUAACUGAGUAAUAGCUAUAUAGCUCAUUUUGUCUUCCUAGUUUUGUGUUAUUUAAUUUUAUUACUUAUGUUCUUCUUAUAGAAAAGACUUGUUUAAUUUUGGAGAAACACCUCCUAUAUAUUCAUUGUAUUAGCAAUCGAUAUAAAAAUUAGUUUUUGAUUAUUAAUGUAAUGAGUUCUCUAGCUUAUUAUGGGUCACGUUCUCACAUAAACUAAAUCGGAUAAAAUAGUUGACAGUCAUUUGAUCAAUUUUUAUUAUGAGAGAUGUCAUUUUCCUAUGUUAAGUCAUACUAUCAUACAUAACUCCAAUUGAAAGAUGCUUAUUUCCUAGAAACUAGAUGCUCAUUGUUUACACCAAAACUAUAUAUACCUCUCUUUAGUUAAUGUCAAAAAUUGAACAGCUAGCAAGUUAUUUUUUUUAAUAUAACAUCAUCUCUAAAAAAAACUGUGAUAGAGAGGCAGGUUGACGAUGGCCUUAUGUAGUUAUACAUGUAAAGUAAAUUGCUCCUUUCAAAGGCCUUCAAUUCCAUCCAAAGUUGAGGACUUGAAAGACUCAAUUUCCUCUGCUUUGAAGGUAAACUUUGCUGCUAAUAAUUCUUAAUUUACUAGUAGUUUUAGGUUCUUGUUUCUUCGAUCUUUGUUAUUAUCUAUCGUCUCUUGUAAUUCGUUUAUUGUAGCUACUAUUCUUUUUUAGCAUGCUUUGUCAUGCCUUGGUGUAGCAUGUUGUCCUAGUUUCUUCAUUUCUUUUAUUUUAUUGAGUCGAGGCUGUACACACUAUACCCUCCCACAGACCCCCCACUUGUGGGACUACGCUGAUCAGUAUGUAUGUUAUUGAUGAUGUUAUAAUCCAUCACUAAUUAGGAUUGAUGACGUAAUUAGUCUGUUGCUAAUUCCUGUUUUCUGGUUCGUUUUGAGUUGAUGAUUAGCCAUUUUCGAGGGAUUUGGUGCAUUUUUCAAUUGUAGCUGACAUUCCAAAAGUUGUGAAAGAAACUUCUUUCAAAUUAUUAGAUGCAUUUGUGGACUUUGUAUUUGAAUUUGUUGAUCAGCCAUUACUUCCAUCUCAGGUACAUGAUUUCCAUUAAAUUAAUUACUACAAGAUUCAAUAAUUAAUGUAAAUUAGCUACUACUAAUUAAUUUUGACAGAGUAAUUUUGCACCAGUGGAAGAAAUUGGAGAAGCUGUUGUAGUAACUACAGUGGAAGGGGAAAUUCCAGAUGAUUUUCCGGAGGGUGUUUACAUAAGAAAUGGUCAGCAAUUGUCCUUCUCUUCAAUUAAGAUAUGUUCAAUUAAUUAAAGGGUUUAAUUUCUAUAUGCUUGUUUUUUCAUGUUAUCUAAAAAUCUACAAUCUGGAAUCAGCUAGUCAGUCACUAUCUGUCUUAUUUGUUGUCAUAUUUAAAAUGGCAGCUGGGCAAGAAAACAUAUUAUUCUUGGUUUAGUGGUUUUGUACUUUUGUUAAGAUUUAAUUAAUACCUACCCCGAAAAUGACCACGUUUUGUUAGUUUAAUACUUAAAUUAUAGGGUGUUGUUAGUCCUUGAAUUAUUUCAUUAUAUUUGGUUCAUUUGAAGCCAACUCGAAGGAACAACAACAAUAAUAAGAGCCUGGCUGAAUUUAAGUAAUAACUUUUAAGCAUCAAGUACUGAAAAAUACUUUUUAAGUGUGGGAGCUGAUCAUAUAUUAUUAUAAGUGGGAAACUCCAAUAUGCAAAGUUAAAUUAUCAUAUUAUCCUCACACUAAAUUAAAAUAUCAUUAAAUAUCUAAUUAUUUAAAUACUAAGUAAUAAUUAUAUUAUAUUAUACUAAAUACUAAAAAUAAGAAGGUGUCAAGUCAAACUUUGAAAGAAAAAAAUAUUUCAUAGAAAAUUGUUAGAAAUUAUUUCAUAGAAAGUUGUUAGGAAUUACUUUUUUUUUUUAUAAAAACGCUUUUAUUUAAUUCUUUUAAGAAAGGUUAUGUUUAAGUGGAUUAAAUUUGUUAAUUAGAUAAAGCCUUUUUAUAUAAAAAAAAAAAAGUUAGAUAAUUAAAGCGUUUAUCGUUUAUCCUUUAUUCUUUAUUCUUUUUCUAUAAUUAGUGUGGUUAAAUGAAUUAAAUUUGUUAUCCUUUAUUAUAAUUAGUGUAAUUAAAUGUAUUGAAUUAUUAGUAAAAACAAUCAACCUUUCCUCUCCCCCAUGUCUAAGAUCACUAAGUUCUGAAAAUUAACUUAAACAACUCUGAUCUUCACCUUUUCAUCUUAUCCUAUAAAUCUUUAGCUAUAUAUACAUCAUGAAAAAGUAAUUUUUCUUUACCAAUUGCCUCUUGUUGAUGUGAAUUAUUAGGCAAUUUUCAGGUACUUUUUUUUUGUUUUGAAAUAUUAAUAUUUGUUUUGAUCCUAAUUAGAAUGAUAUUUUGUAUCAUAGUUUUAUCUUUACCAUUUUAGAUGGCUUUUUUUUUUCAACUGUUUUUAAAUAUCUGAAUUUUUGUGGAACAAUUAUUAUACUCUUAUUUUGUCAUAUUUUCCUCAUUCUUGUAUUUACUUCUCUUUUUCUAUAUCAUUUUAAUUUUUAAUUGAUAAGCUAAAUUUCUUUUCAGGUUAUUGUCACAUUAACCGUAUGAAAUAUAUAUAUUAAAAGUGGGAACAAAAAAAGUUAAAAGUUGAAUUAUCAAAUUAUCCUUUAUAGGUUGAAUAGUCAUUUAAGUAUUUAAUUAAACACUAAUCCUUUAAUUAUUGGUAUUAAAAAGUAAAUUUACCUAUCUAUUAAUAAUAUAUUUCAUUAAAAUGAAACAAGAAAACAGAUACAUUCUCACUCAUUAGUUCAUUCAAUUCAAUGUGUGGAAUUGCUUUCAUAUUCCACAAUUAUUCAACCUUUAGAAUUUCUUUUUAGUAUUUUUAGAUUUGUAAAAUUUUCGGUAAUAAAUAUAAACUUUAAACUAAUAGUAUUCAAGAAGUCCAAGUGACGGGCAUAUCUAUGUGGUCAAGAGAAUCAUUUAACUUUUUCUUGCUCUUUUUGGAUUUUCAAUUAUUUUAAAAUUUAUAUGCUAUGUACCAUUCAUAAUAUAUAUAUAAAAGUUUAAAGUUGAAUCCUUCUCUAAAGUAAUUUAAAUAACUUAAUUAAUGUAGUAGUAUUUGACUUUAUGAAAAUUUAUGUGCAUUUUUGUAUUUUUAUGCAGUUCAUAAAAGUAAUUAAUACUUUCAUAUAUAGGAAAAAUCAAAGAAUUAUAUUUGAAGUCUUAUUAUUAUGAUGUGGUUAUUUUUUGUUCACUAUAAAUAAUAUGAUAACACUAUUUAUUUAAAUAUCAUUUGCCGUAAUGUUUUUCUCUCUUUUAUUUACUUAUUUAUUAUUUUUCUUCUUCUUCUUUUGCUUUAAAUAUUCACCUUCAUAAUUCAUAUCUAAUAUAAUUACCUAUUCAAUUGGUACUCUUAAUAUUCAUAACUCUCAUGUUUUUCAUAUUUAUAACUUUCAAAUAUUUAAUUUAAAACUUUAGGGUGUCUUUGAUAUUCCUCUACUUUUAUCUGUAUAAAUCAUUCUUUUUAUUUCAUGAGAAGAAUCCCUACCAAAGGUUAUCCAUUUUCUGUACAAUUAAAGUAGUGAAGCACUUGGAUCAUUAUUAAGGCUUUUGAAUUUUAUUUGGUUACGGGAGAAGGUAUCAUCAAGAACUCUACUCCUUAUGUAUUUUUUUUACUAUAUAUAUUGUUAUAAUAAUUAAAGUCUUAAGAAGGAUAUGAAUGUUGUAUUUGUUCUUAUCUAUUUAAUUUUUUUGUAUUCUUUACCGAUUUAUACUUCUUUAAUUUAAUCUUCUAUGAAAUUAUGAAUGUUAUAAGCCUAUCUUUAUUAGUGCUGAAAUUACUAAUUUAUGACUUUUAUAUUAGUUUUUAAAUGUACUUUUUAUAAUAUUUUCUUUCUUUUAGCCUUUCCUUACUGAUAUGGUUUCUUUAAGUAGCAACAUAUUUGUGUACGUAUUGAUAUGAGAGCGUAAUCAGAGAUUAUUGAGGAUAAGUCAUAGAUAUAUUCAUAUUAUUAGAGGCUACACUAUCUUAAUUAGUUUUCCAUAUUUCUUGCUUGAUGGUCAAUGUACUAUUCGAUUAUUAAGAAUUUUAUUUAAUGAAUAAAAUAUAAAUUGGUAAAACUAAUCAUCAAAGUUAAUAGUCGUCUAACUUGUAAACUUAAUAAACUCCAUUAAUUUACAGGCUCAAAUCCUCUGUUUGGAGGUCUCAAAUCGACCAAGUCCAUAUUUGGGAAAUCAAGUCAGGUAUGGAUUGAAGGCGAAGGAAUGCUUCAUGCUUUGCACUUCACUAGAGAAAAAGGAAGAGGGACUUGGAAUAUCUUCUACAAUAACAAACACGUCCAAACGGACACUUUCAAGAUGGAAAUACAUAGAAAGAAACCUGGUUUUCUUCCUGCUAUUGAAGGGGAUUCUCCAGCCAUUUUAAUGGCUUACGUUUUGAAUGUGGUAUGAAACUUACUUACAUUCGAAUAACUAGAAAUUAAUCUGAUAUAUACGAGGUAAGAAUCUUAGUAACAUGGUUGUUUCUUUGCAGUUGAGAUUUGGCGUGGAAAACAAACAUCUAAGCAAUACAAAUAUUUUUGAGCACUCAAAGAAAUACUACUCUAUUGCUGAAAAUCAUUUGCCUCAAGAGAUAGACAUAUAUACCCUUGCAACAUUAGGUAAUUGGAAUGUCAAUGGAGCUUGGGAUCGACCAUUCACAAGUCAUCCAAAGGUAAUUAUGUUCUAAAAAAGUCUAAUAGUGUGUAUAACAGUAUCGUUCAUCAUCGUAUUUUAUCCACAGAAAGCCCCUGGAACUAGUGAACUUGUUAUAAUGGGAAUAUAUCCAAGAAAGCCAUACUUUGAGCUAGGAGUCAUUUCAGGUAUUGUCAUUUUCUAGUAUCUCCUUCUUCUCAUAAUGAUCUUAAUUCAAGAUGAGCAUUAAAAAAGAGAAUUUAAAUUGGUGCAUAAUAUAUAUAUAUUUAGCUCGCUAAUAAUUUGUUAAUCGGCUAAUUCCUACUUCCAGCUGAUGGCAAGAAAAUGGUUCACAAGGUGGAUCUCAAGUUCAAUAGGUGCAGCCUAUGCCACGAUAUGGGAGUUACAGAAAGGUAAUCGACUUUAGGAAUGUUUCAAUCGAUAAUGAUCAAUAUUUUUAAGCUCAUGUUUGGCUAAUUCUGUAAUAUCUGACAAUCCAUAUAUAGGUACAACGUGAUCAUGGAUUUUCCUCUAACUAUUGACAUAAAUCGACUCAUUAGGGGAGACUCGUGAGUACUUUAAUUUAUCUUUUCCAUUAAUGAUGUUGCAAUCAAAUGAAAUCGUAUUGAUUAUAUAUUUGCUCUGUCUUUUGGUUUGUAGAUUGAUAAAGUAUGAUAAAAAUGGAUAUGCGCGGAUUGGAGUAAUGCCACGAUAUGGUGAUGCUAAUUCCGUUAGAUGGUUUGGUGUUCAACCUAGUUGUGUAUUUCACCUAAUAAAUUGUUUUGAAGACAACGAUGAGGUAGUUUCAGUUCUGUUUUUAACUAAAUUUACUUCUACAUAUUGUAUAAGUUGAGUGAUUGACCAAUAUAAAAUGUAUGUGAUUCCGAUUUGUUUGGCAAAAGGUGGUUGUAUGGGGAUGUAGAGCUCGUGAAUCAGUAUUACCAAGACCUGGUUACAAAGAUAAAAAAUCCAAGAGAUUUUUCGAAGGGUUUGAAGAAACAAGUUCCACAAAAAACAAUAAUGAAUCUUUAGAAGAAUCAUUCUUUUUUCGUGUUUGUGAAUGGAGACUAAACAUGAGAACAGGGGAAGUAAAGGAGAAAAAUGUCGUAACUAAGUUCUUUAUGGAGUUCCCUAUGAUCAAUGAAAAGUUCAUUGGUCUAAGAAACAAAUUUUGUUAUCUACAAGUGGUAGAUAGAGAAGCUAGCUCCAUUUCAGGUUACUAUCAUUUGAUCUUUACACCAUUAUGAAUUUUCGUUUUCGUUAAAAAAAUUUGGUACGUUGCUAAUGACUGUAAUUUGAUACUAUUUUGAAUUUAUGAUUAGAUGGAUUAGUUAAAUAUGGAGGACUUGUCAAACUUCAAUUUGAAGAAGAUAUGGAAUUGAUUAAAGUUGAGUAUCAUAUGUUGCCAGAGGGUAAUUUUUGUAGUAGAACAACCUUUGUUCCAAAACCUCAAGGUGUUGAUGAGGAUGAUGGUUGGCU
rnacentral:lncRNA from 1 species